ACCACUUCUGAUUAUGCCAUUUGGAACAAGGAACUCCCCAGCAUGGUCUUGAGGGCAGGAAGCUGGAUAAAUUCGACAGAAUUACCAUUACCACUGCAGGGCUCUACUUUGUGAUCAUAAAAUGUUCAAGACAGCCAGACCGCUCUGUGAUUAAGGGCUCCGGACUUUAUCAUUGGCAAACGCACUGGCGCUGGGCAAUUGUGCCUAUGAUCAACAGGGCAGGGACCAAGGUGACUGUCUCAUUGCUCAUUUCGAGCUUUGACUCUGUGGUGGGGCUAAACCACCAGAAGCCAUCCUCUACUGCGCUGGUGGCUCGGAUUAUCCUUUUAUCUGAAUUAAUUUACUAUUUUAUUACGGCACUUUGAUGGCCUGUAUUGAGGAUCGCCGAAGCUUUGAUGUCUAAGCUUGCUAAUGACUGUAUCAAGGUUCCAGAGUCAGACUGUCGGACUACUGUGCCCAGAGUCUCUUGCCUCCUUCUCUGCUGCUGGAGGGUGUUCUGGGCAUCAGUCCCUGGGGCUCUCUCCUCUCCACCUGAGCUCAGAGACAAGUGGCUAGGAAGAAAGCCAUCCUCUUUACUUCCAGAGAACACCAGGCCCUUGCAUGUCUCUAUGAAGAUUUCUUUGAGCCCUGUUCUCUUUCACCGGCUUCUGAAGAGAAUGCCCAUUUCCUCUCCUGACCCACACCUCUUAUCCUGAUAAGACCCCAAGAACUUUUGAUGCCUGUGUCAGCCCUUCAAUUCAGCCAGGAUGUGGAGUGGCUUCGUUCAUGUGCCCUGUAAACACAGAGGUUACAUCACUUCCUCCCUAGGAAGCCAGAGAAGCUGAGCUGUGCCUGGCACUAGACAUGAGGUGAAUACCAGGCAAGUUUCAGAUUUUACUAAAUUCCGAGCGAUGACGCCAGCCCUGCAGAGAGGCCAGGACAGAGAAUGGCACUCAUGCCCUGCGGCUCCACAUAGAGAAGUCAGGACAGCUGGAGGAAUCCAUACAAUUUAGCCUGUCAGUUUCCGUUUAGGGCUUGCCCUGAACAAAUUCACGGUUUCAAUCAGUCUAAAAGUGAUGAUGUUGUUUUUAUACGGUGACUGGAAGAGAAUGCUGCCUGGAGUGAGUGCUUAGCAGCAUCUGCACUGUUAGCGAUCCUCUGGCUCCCUACACGGGAAAUGAGGGCCGCAAUAUUUGUUCUGGAUUUGAAAAAGAGACUACCAACUUGAG